GUCCCAUUCGACAAAGGCUCCGAUGAUGUAAGCCACCCAGAUUCCGAGAGCCAAAGAAGAGGCUGUUAUGGAACCCAAUCGUCCACGGACGUUUGGCGAUGAACAUUCACUCACCUUAUCAUCCCAACCCAAAUGACUGGCUGGAGUUGUACAUCCGACGCCGAAUCCUUGCAGUAGACGGCCAGCGUACAACAUGGCUUUGUGUUUGCCAAUGCAGGUGAGCCCUAGGAUGAGCGAUCCGAAUAUGUAGAGCAGAUAAUGACCCAUCAAUGCUUUUUUACGGCCGCAAUAUUGCAUCGGUAUGCUGAUGGCCAGCGCCCCGAAGAAGGACCCGCACAUGGGCAUUGCAGCUACGCAAUAAAGAAAAACGCAGGUUAUUUUAUGCUAAAUAGUGUGCUAUUCAAUUUUGAAGGUUGUAAUGUUUACAGAUCCAUUUGAAAUCGUCUGCGUCCAUUUCGAAAUCUAGUGUCCUGUUGAGAGAUGGCAAUCCAGGUGAGCCCCAUCCUCUGACGGUGCCCAUGCAAAAGUAACCCCACGACCCGACAACUGCUGCCAUCAACUGCCACGUUCAAUUUUUCAGGUAAAUACAUUUAAGGAUGUUAUGCCAUAAACUUUGCUCGUGAUUGUAAGAAAUUUACGGUACCUGGGGCAACACUUUUUGAGGGUUCUUCAUCAACCUCUGUUUAACCAUUUUCUUUUUCUUGUCUUUUUGUUGACACAAAAGCCAAAAUUCGGGAAAAAAAAAAGGCUCAAAUGCUGAAGCGUAUCUAAAUGCUUAACGAAUGGCUAUGACUGUUCUGUGAAAGCUCUGAAGCUCGUCUGAUGACCAGAGAUGAUUCAGACGCAAAUGUUGAAUGGAAGCUAGUAGACUGGUCACGCGAACCAUUUUAUUUUUGUUGACUGCGCGGCUGCAAAUCAUGACAAGAAAUUGAACAUUCUUGAUAGGUUUGUGCUGCAUUCGAAGCUGAAUGCCGCAUGCAUAGGCUACUUGCGGCCAUUUUGUUUUCAUUUGAGAGCUUGUUUAAGUGAAGAAUACUGAUGUCUUUGGACUGUUUAACCUUUAUGGUAACGCACACACGACCAAACUUUUAUUAUCAGUCACUAAUUUCUAGCCAUUGGCAGACGUACUCCGCCGAUUAAUAGUAUAUUAGUGGAUUUUUGCAUAUGACUGAUAGAUAAAUAUUUAAGGAUCUUUCCGUUCUUUUGUUGAUCGAUUGUUAUACAGUUGUCGUUCGAAGUUAUUCAGUCACCAUUAGGAAGGAGAUUCUUCGUGAUAUUGUUGUGUUAAAGCAAGUCUUGGCGAGCUCAACAAUCUGGGAAUCACUUGUUAUGUUUUCUCGACGGAUUAUAUAUCGCGGGUUUAAGGAUAAAACCAAUUAUUUAUUCAAAAUCCGCGUUCGAUUUUGAUAGUACCGUGUGAUUUUUGUCGAAUUUCAAGAGAUGUUAUUUUUUUUCAGAUUUUGACAAAAGUGGGAAUGCCAUACCCUUCCCACUUUUUCAUUUUUGGCCAAAAUUUUAAUUUUUAUUAAAAUACUUGAUUUUGAUUCAAAAUCGAAUGGAAAUAUUAUUUUUCCAUUGGUCCUAUAAUUUUUGAGCUAAACAUAAAAAAAAAACUAAACAAAAAAUAAUUGAACAGCGUAUGUUUUUGUUUAUUUAAAAAACUGCAGAAGAACUUCUAACGAAGAAACCAGCAACUUAUUCGAAAUCAGCGUUCAACUUUGAUUCUGCAGUGGGAUUUUUGUCGUAUGUCGAUUGGCAAAAAAAAAAAAGUGGAUAGGAGACUGCUUUCGCAAUUUGGUCAAAAUCUGAAGAAAAGAAAAGAAAGACAUUUGUUGACAUUCGGCAAUGGCAAAAAAAAUACCGAAAUCGAACGCUGAUUUCGAUUAAGUUAUAGGUUUUCCCAUUAAACGGGCGAUUUUACCUUUCAAAUUAACUGGUACAGCACAAUCACCACUCCAGCGCCACCUAGUAUCCGCGGAGCAAAAGCAAGUUUUGGCACUUCUACGGUGUACGCGUGUACCGCACCAGAGCUCAGUGGACUCCAGUAUUAGGUGUGACCUCCUUUUGUUCUUUGUCGUCUGGUGGCCAUCUUGAAUUCUCAGCUCGAAAUGAUCAGCGCCUUCCAGCCCAAAUGAAGUAGCGUGCCGUCAAAUUUUCCCAGAAAGACAUUGAAGAGAUUUUGCUUCACCUUUAAAUGGAGAUAACAGUUCAGAAUUUCAUGGAUGUUUGUUGGAACUGGCGGAGAGUUCAACUGACUUAACCAACAAGACCCCAGAUUUCCUGUAAGAUCGAGAAAGAAGUUAACCGAGAAAUAAAAGGCAUCUAGACAAACGGAAAAUGUCAUCAUAAAAUUUUUUCCUUGAUGCAUCAAAUGCCUUUCAUCUAACAAAAUGGAUGCAAACAAACCACGAAAAAAGAAGUUGUUUCAACAGGCACGCACAUUUAAUUAUUCUUGUUUUGUCUUUUGCAUUAGAGUCAGAGUUCCAAGGCAGUUCUGUUGGCUUAAAAGGUUCAGCUGGAAGCGAACGUGUCUCGUCGGGGGUCAUUGGAACUCAAAAAUAUAAUAAAACCAGGGAGAGAUUGCUAAUGUGAUUCAACUGUAUUGAGCAUCACAACGAGAAAACGAGCGUCUAAAUUCCCCUGCAAAACGUGCGACCUUAUCCAGAAGGCGACAGCAGGAUCGCGCAAUUCGUCAAGGAUAAUGCCAACCUCCUGUGCGGAUUUACGUAAAAAUCGGAGCCGGUGUUCGGAGUGGGAUUGGUUGCCUUACCUCGACCAAAGAAGGUUUCAGUCGCCAGUUUUGGUUGCAUCGCAUUGACUGAUGCAUUGCUGAUGCUUCGGUAAUGUAUCAUGUCGUAUUUUAUCAAAAAGAAAAUGCUGAUUCAUGUUUGAGCUUUAGGGACCAUUAACGUCAGCCUCUGUGGCCUAAUGGAUAAGGCACCGGCCUCCUAAGCCGGGGAUUGCGAGUUCGAGUCUCGCCAGAGGUACGGAUUGUAAUGCUAGCGAGCUGACAACCAAUACGUUUUCCUGAUUGAACAUCUUUUGGAAGCUGGUAAAGUGCUGGCUGGACCAGGUUUUGCACCCAAGCAGAACGUGUUGUGUGUCUUUCUUGAUGAGCUGGAGAGAACUCUGUUUUCCUACUUGAACACCUUUUGGAGGUUCGUAGGUGCUGAGCGGGACGAGCGAAGCUGGAAACGGUUUGCUAACAAAGUCCUUCAGUGUUUUCUUAACGCCUGGAAGUGGUUUCACCUCGGCCGUCCGGUUUACUCGUGUGGUUGUAUGGAACGGGACGGAAGCCGAUGCUGCGGAACACGGUACCACAUUUCUGCAGACGGGGACGGACUUCUUCACAGGAAUUUUAGGCUCCAGUUCCAAAAUCGGCCAUGUCAGAUACUCAGAAACAGCGGAGGAAUCGUGGCGAAUACGUUGAUCGGACAAAUGAACAACCAAAUCUGCCUUAACCAAAAUCUGGUGCUCGUUGAAAGACUGGCAGACACGUUUGGGACGGCGACUUUAGCGAUAAUCAUCGAAGAUGUUCUGGAAAGUGACGUCGCCCUCUCGACAAAUAAAAAGGAACAAUCGUUGGUGCAGAAACCAGAAGCAAGUCAAUCAAUUAGCGACCGUGUGCAACUUUAUACCAACAUAUUUGGAUGGCGUUGUGGACGGAUGCCAUGUAUUGCAAAAUUGCAACUGACAGAAAACAGUAGCAUUUGUGACGUGUAAUAUACAUAUACCAAUGUGAUAGUGACUGCCAGUGCCAGGUGCCUUCUGGCAGGAAUGGCACGUGAAAGUAGCCAGCACUUUUGAUCGUCCAUCAUCGCCAAUUAGGGGACGUGGUAAAGUAUAUCGUAGUUAGCACUGCGUUAGUUUCGGAGAUUCAUGUUGAAGCAAUUACAUUUUGUAACAGGAAACAAAGACUGCAAGUACUUCAAUUCUUUAUUGUUCAUUCUCAAAAUACGCGAAUGUGCUGUCUGUGUUUUUUUCUAAAUCUGUUAACUUUUAAAUUUGGCAGCAUCUUGAUUCGUUCGAUCUCGAGUCAUAAACGUAACUAUUGGCAACUCUGCAUCCUUAGUUGAGAUUUCUAGCUUCUGCAAUGAGUAGCCAAAAUUGUAGUUAUGCUAAAUUUUAGAUAGGCCUUAGAGUAGUAAUACGAGUUCUUUGCGUAGAAGUGAUUCCAUCAAAUUGUGCUAAAAUAAAAUGUGGAAUGUUUGUGAAAA